AAGGUGUAUAGACUAAGUUUUGCAAAGCAGUUUUAAGUCCUGCAGUUGGUGUGAGAGAGAUGGCCUAUGUUGCCAUUAAAGUUUGAUUUCUACAAUGGAUAAAAUAUUAUAGGUUAUGCAUAUUAAAUUUCUCUGGAUAGUUGUCAAGAUGUAACCAAGGAUUACGAAGGUUCCAUAGAUAUGAUAUAUACAAAUAUCUCACAAAUACGAAAUGGAUAAUUGAAAAAUAAACAAGCACAAUGGAGCUUAGAAAUAUACAAAGGAGUUUUGCCAAAUUGUCAAGAUAUGAUGUAUACAAAUAUAUCACAAAUGCGAAAUGGAUAUUUGAAAAAUAAACAAGCACAUUGGAGGACCGAAAUAUACAAAGGAGUUUUACCAAAUUGUCAAGAUAUGAUGUAUACAAAUAUAUCACAAAUGCGAAAUGGAUAUUUGAAAAAUAAACAAGCACAAUGGAGGACUGAAAUAUAUAAAGGAGUUUUACAAAAUUGUCAAGAUGUAAUUAAGGAAUCUAAAGUUUCCAUAGAUAUUAUGUAUACAAGUAGCUCACAAAUGCGAAAUGAAUAUUUCUAAAAUGAACAAGUAUGACAGAUAACUUAAAUGUAUAUAAGAGUUCUGCCAAAUCAGUUGGGCAAGGAAUGACUAAAUGUAUUACGAAUGUAUAAGAAUUUUUUCGGCAUUAUUCACUAUCUUAAGAGCACUGUACAAAUAAAGCUUAUUUUGUGUUAUGCUAUUCUGUUUGCUUCUAUUUUUCUUUCUCUGAAAUACUAACUUUCAUGAUUGUUACGAUUACAUGUCUCUCUUUUCCCUUAUAUAUAUUAGCAUUUUCAAAGUUGUAUCCUUUGUUUUG